CUCUAUAUUAAGUAAAUCUUGAGCAACCUUACAUACUGUUUGCUGGCUGACCUGUGAUAUAAUUUGGAAGAGGCCCUAUAAGUAGGAAUGGCGUUCAAGUCAAGAGGGUUCAAGAGACCCAGUGCCUGCAGGAGGAAGGGGAACACCACCAUCCCUUCCAGGGAAAGAGAGCCGUUUGCUGCUGCCUGCCUGCCUGCCUGCCUGCUUGCUGCUGCUGCUCGGCUACCACCACCACCACCCUUUCCUGGUUGGACUUCUGCUCUGCGGGGGUCACACCUUGCAGGCCCAGGCCCCAGUGGUGUACCAAGGGCGGAGCGGUGGGAGCGAUCUGCCCCAGGUUCAGGCAAUAAGGGGGUGCAUUGUCUGAAACACGCUCUCAGCGCUCGGAUCGGCUCAUAAGGAUGGACAGAGAGCCCAAGCGCAAGAUUGCCCGCCUCCAAAGCCUUGAAAAACUGCUAGGAGAACGCGUGACAAGAUCCUCGUCUCUCUCUGAAGAAACCAAAAGGGGGGAGAGGAGAGGCUUGAUCGCUUCCACCUCACCGAGCUUGCCUAGUCAUACACAUCGCUUCAAGUUAAAGUUGAAACGGACUAGCCCCAGCGGCUACCUGUCUGGGGCGUUAUAUUAAAAAAGGAGUGUGAAAUAAACGGUCAGGUGACCAAACAAGCCGAUCGUUCCAGCCGGUGGGGAGAAGCUGUUGAGGAAUGUGAGCCCGGUCAGUUUUGCCGCCCCAACAACGGCGGGGUGGGGUGCUACUAAGCCAAGGAAACUUUGUAAUGGACUUUAAAAAAAAAAGCGUUCACGGUUCAGCAAAGGAAAGGAGACCAUCACUUCCAGGGAAACCGAGAUCUCUUGCUGCUGUUUACUCAAAAAUGAUUACACUUGUCCCCACUUAAAAAAAAAAAAAAAAAAAGUCUACCAGAACCAGGAGAAAAGGGGACUCGUCGCGUUUGGGCGUCCCUGGCGACUUUUACUGGGACGGUCUACAGGUAUACUGUCGGUUGGUCACGUUGCACGUGCCAGAGGGAUGGGAAACGAGUGUGUACGGGUCGGGAAAGGCCCCCACGCAAGCACGCGUAAGUGAGCAAGCGCACACACCCCGGAGUGCACCUCUCCUUGGCUUUUGGGGGGGGUGCGGGGGAGAAGAUCUUGUCUGUGCGCUGGCCAGCAACUCGAGCCAAAGAGGCCACCCAAAAGCCUGGAGCCCCAAACCGGCUCGAUCUUGCCUUGGGUGCCCUCAGCCCAAAACUGACGAGCCCCCACCAGGCAAAACUUCAACUGUGAGGGAUUCUCUGCAGGCUGUUAACUGCAUGCAAGUCAGACCUUUGCCCCUUCUGUCUCCUCACAUCCUCUCAGUUCUCACCAUCAUCGACACACACACACAACCCAGCAAAGCAAAUAUCUACAACGCCUUAUCUGCAGGUUGCCACUUUUUUCCUUUUUUGUACUGUAAUAUUUUAUUUUAUUUUUAC